UGGGGAAUCUUGCGCAAUGCACGAAAGUGUGACGCAGCAACGCCGCGUGAGGGAAGAAGGCCUUCGGGUUGUAAACCUCUUUCAGUUGGGACGAAGCUCCGUGGGUUAAUAGCCCACUGGAGUGACGGUACCUUCAGAAGAAGCCCCGGCUAACUACGUGCCAGCAGCCGCGGUAAUACGUAGGGGGCUAGCGUUGUCCGGAAUCAUUGGGCGUAAAGCGCGUGUAGGCGGUUCGAUAAGUCCGCUGUAAAAGUCGAGGGCUCAACCCUCGAAAGCCGGUGGAUACUGUCGGGCUAGAGUGCGGAAGAGGCGAGUGGAAUUCCUGGUGUAGCGGUGAAAUGCGCAGAUAUCAGGAGGAACACCAAUUGCGAAGGCAGCUCGCUGGGACGUUACUGACGCUGAGACGCGAAAGCGUGGGGAGCGAACAGG
rnacentral:rRNA from 1 species